rnacentral:lncRNA from 1 species
AGGAUCAUUUACUGGUUCAAAAGCUGUCCUGAAGUAAGCCUCGGGCGACCUUGGUUCUACUUUGAACUUCUUGCAAAAGGGCAGCCACUGCUUUGAGAAAGUUGCAGCCUCUAACAUGGCAUAAAACGUUAAGUCUGACCCUCCGUCGUCUGAUAGAUAGAUGCUUAACUUCUCCGGCGGAUAAUCAUAAGCCAUCACUGAUAACACUGUGUUGAUCACCAGGCUUGGUGGCUCUAUCAAUGGAUCCGCUGUGCAUACAAAUAUGUCUACUCCCGGUAAUUCUUUUUCGAACCUGUUAUUUUGUCCGAGAUUAAAACGAGCAGAUAAAAAAUAUACUCAGAUAAAAUUAAACACGUACAAUUAUAAAAUACGUAAUAAACUUCAUUCAAUUUUUCUUGAAUUAACUAGUUUUUUGUUAAAAUAACUUCUAUAUGUAUGAGAUACCUUUGGGAGAGCCUGUCUUUGUAAGGAAAGCGGUAGACAGAGUUCCAUCUACAAACUGUGGUGAGAAACCAAUAAAGACUGAACCAUAGCUCAGCAAGAAACAAUCCAAUCCAAGUCCAUCUCUCAACUUUUCCUUCCACUGGGAGAAACCUUACUCUGUAGACACAAAUGAAGCAGAUGCCCACAAAGAUGGAAGCUGCAAACAGCCUGAAAAGAAUCCGUCCCUUAACCGGCCUUGUUUCGAAGAGUGGAACAUAAUCAUCUUUUGCCAUGCCUCCCAGCUCUCUCAACUAGUGUAGAUGGGUGCUAAGAAAGAUGCGGACUGAUGAUUUCAAUGAGGAAGAGUGAAUGGAAAUUGGAAAGGAACCAACAGGUAACAAUGGGGUUGAUGUAGAAUAUAUAUUUUUAAAUAAGGGAUGAUGAGACUUGGUAUUCAAUGAAUUUGUUCGAACUUGUGCUUUGUCUAGAUGUUCAUCACUCAAAGCUUAGUACUUUCUUAAAAGAUAAACUACAACCGUUGCCUUUAAAAACUACAACCGUUGCCUUUAAAAGUUAUUUGUAAUAUUUCGUUGUCAUCCACAAUCGAAUACUAAAUCUGUAACAAUUUGAUAAUUGGUUCAAUUUAAUCGUAUUCUUUUUUCAAUUUUUUAUUCAAAAGAAAGACUUUAAACCCAAUUUUUUAAAUAAAAUAUAAUAUUGCAUGUAUUAGCUUGAAUGGGAUGAACGCUAACGUAUAAAUGUCAAUAUAUAACAUUGAAAGUGGCUGGCAUGUGAGCACCAUGUUACGGCUUCCUUUUCAUAUAUAUUUUUUGUGGCAAAUUUUAAUUUUUAAUUUUUUUUUUUGAAAAUUAAGGGUUUCAUUACUUAGCAUGGAAUCAAGUGUUCCCUGGAUCGGUACAAAAGUUUCGCCCGAUUUUAAGAUGCUAUAUAUGAAUAUGCACAUAUCAUCCCAAAAUCAAGGCCAUCAGUCUGAACACCCCAUCUGCACAAAAGCUUCCCUAUAUAAAAAAAUUCCUAGUACCUAUCGAUACACAAUCAGGCCAAAAUUCAGCCUCACAAAAAGCAUUAACUCGACAUAACUCAUGAACCCUGUUAAAAGUAAAUCCUUCAAUAAGAAUUGCCAGUAUCACUCACACAAGCAGAGUCACGCACAGAUAAAUCACAUAGAAUCAUUAGUCUGGGUCCAGAGCUCAACCAGAGAUGGACUUCCAAACCUGUGAAAUGAGUUUUUAUGGUUGGCAGCAGCAACAAGGUUAGAGAGUGCAGAAGCCUUCUCAAAUUCACACUACUCCUCUCGAGUCGCAGGGUUGCCACCAGGUAGUCUCUCUUCCAACCUUAUUCCCAUAACAAUCAAUCUCCACACUACUCAAAGACAUGUAAAAGAUCUGCUUGACGUUGAACCUCAAUAUACUUUUUUUUUUUUACCAAUGAAUUCAAUUUACUUUAAUUUAAAGGGAUUUCAAAAAUAUUUCUAGUGCAAGAAGGAGAAUUGAGAACUUGUCUAUUUGAACCAGCAAUUUAAAAAGUGAGAGUUUGAUUCAAAAUCAUAUUCAUGGGGUAGCCAAAACUAAGUUGUAGACAUCAUUAAUUAAAUGACACAGCCUUUGUUUGGUCCUAUUCUUUAAUUGGUCGCUUUCUUACGAGACCUAACCAAUGCAUAUUAAGAAAAACAUUUCUUUUUUAAUAGAAAAUUUCGUCAAAGGUAUUUGUUUGUUUUAAAGGCAGUCGAAAGUAUCUGUUAUUCUAGAGUGUUACCAAAAAGAACAAAACGUUUAUAAUAAUACAAAUUGUAAUAUAUUUUUUAACAUUUAUAUGUCAGGAUCUAUUCUUUUACAAGAGAUUAAAACUAUCAUAAAAGAAAAACAGAUGGUUAGAUUCCAACUCCCCAUUUUUCUGAUCCAAUCAUCAUUAAAUAAAUACGUACGAUCAUAGUGUAUUAUUCUUUUGGGUUGCAGAUCUACAAUCUUUUAAAAAUUGCAUUAAUUAAUUAGUUUUUCCAGAUUAAAUUUGAAUCAAUUACAGGAUAAUUAGAAAACUAAUGCACUACCUACUACUGCUGUCCUUUCCUGUGAUUAUUUAUAUAAUUAAUAAAAACUUAAUUAUAAAGUUUUGCCACUAUGAUGUAUGCGCCUAAUAUUACAAACUUAUCCAAAUUCUAUCACCAAAAUGGCUUGAAUAUCAUUGACUGAUUAAUUAUCUAAGUGUGAUGGCUUAAUAAGAAUUUACAAGAAAUAAAUAAAAUUGUAAUAGUUGGUUAAAAAAAAUUAUUGAAAAAAAUCAUCAAAUACUAUUUAUCUUAAUACUUUUAUUUCAACUAUAUUAUCCACACAUGACAUGACUAAUUUAUUAGUGCAAAUCGGAUUAUCUCAAUUAUGAAUUCAUUAAUUCACCCAUCCCACCCUCAAAUUUAACAUUGAAUUAUUGUCAUAUCGGAUAAAGAAUUUGGAAUGAAGAUGAUGAGACAAUUAAAAUAAUUUAGUAGAAUGAUUAACUAAUUAAUUAAUAGAUUUAGUCAAAGAAGUGCUUUUACUGAAGAGUUUGCAUGCUUUCUUGGAAUGGUUUUAUUGAUAAGCACUCAUCUGUUUAUAUACAAGUUACAGCAUUAAUAUAAAAAGAAAAACAAUCUAUACGAUGAAAUAUAUUGUCUAAAUAAAGGUAAUGCCUUAUAAUUGGGCCUACGAUUAAGGAAAGCAAAUCAUUAAGUCAAACCAAAUGGAAAAAUAUCCUUCAUUAUUUACUAACGAAAAUAUUGAACAUAUGAUAAUUUAAUAUGUAAUUUGUAACAUGUUACAUAUUUAAUAGCCUAAGAAAUGAAACAAAUUAUAAAACAGGAGUAGAGAUCCUUAACAUAGAAAUGAUUUCACAUUAGAAACACCAUGGAGUGCUAUAUUUGAUAAAUAUAAGACUUUCUCUUUGUUUUAUAGAAUCGUUUUAAUUUUCACAGGAAUUGGAAUAAUGAAAUUAUGGAAUUGUUUUCCUGAUAGUAAUACCAAUAACAUCACAAUGAAAUUAAAGAUUGUUAAAUUCAUUUAUUUUAAAAUACCCUUGGACUUGAAGCAGAACAAUCUAUUAUUUCAGUUCACAAUACACCUUAUGCAGAAAAUUCUGGAUAGGAAAACGGAACUAAUAAGUACCCUUUUAUCUUUUUUUCGUUGUCGUAGUAAUUUAAUACAUGGCCAGUGUACAGGCCAGCAAGGCAAAGCCAAUUGACUUGUAAGUAACCGAACUGGGCAUUCUACCAUUGUCCUUUCGGAAAAAGAGAGCUUGGUAUACAGGGAAGUUGAUAGUAACCAAAAGCAAACAGAGGAGAAUCUGCAACCCAAAUAGGUCCAAAACCUUGGAGUGAUCAGCUUCCAAGAUGACCUUCUUGAUUGCCCCCAAGCUGCUGAACAGAUUGAGCAUUGCAAGUGUUGCUAAAAUAUCAAACAUUGGUGAAGUAGCACCGAACUCUAUCAGCUCUUGCUCAUAUCUUUUCGAGACAUCGUCGUCAGCUACCUUGGCCGUGAUGACAAAGGCUGCCUUUGAAAACCCUAAUAAAUUCAAGAUGGUGUCGAAGAAGGCAAAGAAGUAGGAGGUUGUUCUUUUGAACAUCCACAUCCUUUGAUCGUUAAACCAACCUUGGAACGUGCCUCCGCACCAUAGGAAUUCUCCAAGGCUAUGGACGCGGUGUGCAAAGGCAACAUAUGCAAAUGGGACCACCCAGAGGGUCGAUGUCUGAUUGUCAAAAAUGAUUUAGUUAUUCAUGUGCAAAUUUACAAACUCCGUGGAUGUGUUAUGUUUAAAGCUCGUUUGACAUUGCAAUUGAGCUGCAUUUAGUCGCAAAUGCAUUGCCAAAUAAAGAUUUGACAAAUUUAAUUGAAAAAGUUGAGUGCUGGAAAUUUAGAAAGCAUAUUAAGAAUGAUGAUAAUGCUAAAGGAAUCAUUUUCGUUUGAAAGAUUUGAUUGUGAAAUUGGUUCCAAAUUCAGCUUGCUGUUUCUAAAAUAGUACAAAAAAGAGCAAGUUUGUCAGUGAGGAGAUUCAUACCUUAGGAAACAAGGAGAUGUCUUUAAGCAGGCAAAGGCAUGGCACAGCAACAUAAUACAACGUUGCCAAGCAGUUUGCAGCCCACAAAUUGUAAGGACAAUAUGCAAGUCGAAGUUUUAGAGGAAUCUUUUUAUGUCCAUACAACAGGGAGCAUUACCUUGACAGGAAUAUUUGCAAGUGACCUUCCGUCCAUCUCUUAUGUUGUAUUAACGUCUGCAAUAAUGUUGUUGGAGCAACUCCUAAGAAAGCUUCUCCUUGAGGAUUUAAGUAUAUAGAUUUCCAACCUCUACAUUGUAUACUCAAUCCUGUAAUUACAUCCUCCGCAGGGAAGCCAUAUGUUAAUCCCAUCUGCAACCAAAUAUUCAUAUCAUUAUUAUUAUGGAAAGUUGUCUGUUUGUGUGCGUGCACGUGCUCAUUUGAACAUGUGUUUAGGUAGGUGAGAAAGAGCAUUACGAACCUCUUUUCCCCAUUGUGUGUUUUGUUCAAAGGUACAGCUUGCAAGAACUUUACAUGUUUCUUCUAGGACGCUUGCACUUUCUUUAACCUUUCUCUCAUUUAGUCUCUUCCAAUCAACCUUACAGUCUUUGUCAUAUUUCUUCCCACAGAGAGCCUCUCUCCGGUGAAAGCAUCCGGAGCCAAUAUAGCAUGGCCCUCCAUUUGCGUCAAGUCCUGGAAGCUCCAACUUGAUUGUUGAUAACCCAUCACAGACAGAUGGAAGGAAAACAAAAAUAAUCAGAAUCUUCCUUAUUAGAUCAAUCACCGGCUUGCAUUAAAUUAAUUAGAGUAAAACAUUUCUGUUAUGCUUGAUUACCUGAUUUAUUACUCGGAAGGAACUACCAUACAAUUCAUUUUUGGUGAGAUUUUCGAAAUUCUGAGGAUACUGCACGUAGGCAAACUCAUCUCCCUUCUCUUCAUCCAUGAAAAAGCAUAAAGAAUUUUUGAUCGAUUCUGAAUUAUUCGAGUACAUAUCACAAUCCACAUUGAGAAUGAUUGGACCAUUACUUAUCCUUGAUGAUACCCUGAUCUAUAUAUUUAUCCACCGUAAAAAAAGGUUUCAAUAACAUAUGAAAAAGAAAACAAUUAGCUAUAAUGGUACUUACAAGAGCAUUCAUGGCUCCAGCUUUAAAAUGGUGGUGAAAUUGCGGUCUUUUCUCUCGUGCCAAAUACACAAGAGUUGGCAGAGGUCUUCCUUCAACAUCAACCGCAUUGGGGUCUCUCCCAUCAAUUAGGAUCUAAGAAAUUGAUUAAAACACCAGCAAUUAAAACUAAGCUCAAGUAUUUUACUAAGUUAUCGAAGCAUAAUUAAUUACUUGAAGAAUGGUUUGAUGAUCAUGUUUGCUUGAAACAAAAUCCCAUUCACGAAAUCCUUUGCGUUGUUUACGAAUGUCUUCAGGAAUUCGGUUCAACUUGGUGGUGGUUUCAAUCCUCAGUUUCAUGUCCUCGUAUAGUUUCUGCAUAAUUAAGAAAAAAGAUGCUUACCUUUUACAUAUAAAUGCUGGAGCAAAUAAUAUAUACUUAACAAUAGUAAGAAAGUUUGUCUCUGGUUUUUUGUUUGUUUCAUUAGUAGGAUCUGUGUUUUCGUUUCGACCAAGGAUGUGCCUUAUUUUUUGAUCGAGAUAUUCUCUUUGUAACACUGCUAUGUUCAUCCAUUUGCUUAGGGGCAAGCAGCUCUAAAACUCUUCUUGCGAAUUAGGUUAGAAGUUUAGCAUUCAUGAUAUUCACUGUCAAUGGCUUUUUGUGCAGUCUCUUUUGUAAGUGUACAGGUUUUCAAUAUUCGAACCAUGUCAAUGUGUCAUGAAAAGUCUAUUGUAGUAAGUAAGAGACUUGAAAUAUGCAUGAUUGAGGUUAAUAAAAUCUAAAAAAAAAGAAAAGUAAGAAAGUAAAAAAUUUAGCUCUAUGGUAUAAAACAACAGAUUAUUAUACUUUUAUAAACUUCUCUUUUAUUAUAUUCAAUCAAACUUUUAUAUUAUUAUUUUAAAUCAAAUAAAUUCUUAUAACUAAUAAUUAACUAAUUGUUGUUGUUAAUUAAAAUGUCUUUUAUUAUUUUAUACCAUGUGAUCAUGAUAUAACAUGUUGUCAUGUCAUAAUAGAUAAUAAUGUAACAUGUCAACGUCACAUAAAUAUAAAAAAAUAAAAAAUUUAAUUAAACAUAAUAAAAAAUAAAAAUUUAUUUAAAUUUAUAAUUCAAAAACUUUUUUACAUAUUAUACUUCCAAAUAAUUUGGUUUAGUAAUAAUUAUCCUCUUUAAUAGAAUAAAGAUUGGAUAUCCAAAUCAUCACUCUCCUUACAUAUAUAUGCAUCAUUUUCAAAUAAAAUUUUUAACCAAAUCGUUUUGUUUUGUUGUGAUUUUUCUUUUUAAACAACUAUUAUAUUCUUAUAAUUCAAAUAAAAUAUUUUCCAAAAAAAAAAGUAUAUAGUUAUCUUUCUAUGUACCCAAUUCUAUUUGGUAAAAAAUAAAUAAAAAUCAAGUUUAUCUCUCAAUCUCACCUCAUUUUUUUGGACAAAUUAACAUGAGACAAACACUGUUUUGCACAUGCUUAAGGUCAAACAAAGACAUUUUGUGCUUGAAAACAAAAAACGUAAUAAUAAUAGUUAAUAAACUUAAACAAAACAAGCAUUAGUAAUUGGUGCUACUCGGAUCGUCAAAAGAUAUUAAUAUAUAGGGAUCCCUAUUGGUUUUGUUUGGUAGCACCCGAAGAUCAAAAUAUCCUAAUAAAUAAAACUCAAAAGUCACUGAUUAAUUAAUAAAUUGCAAAUAGUAAUUUUCAAACCCACGAUAUUGUUGUCCUUUUUGACUUUUAUUGGAGAGUAAGACAAAAACUUUGUUUUUAAAGGACUUUAUAUUAAGAAUUUUAAUUUUUUAAUUUGAUAAUAUAUGGAGUAUUGGUUUGCAAUGCUUUUUAAUGUGAAAAAAAUUCUUCAAAAGACAUUAAAAAAAUUUAUAAUAUAAAAAUAUAAAAUUUUAUAUUAGAACAUUCCAAAGAAAAAGAUAGACAAAGAAAAUAAGAUGGAAGCAAGUAAUAUAAAUUUUCGAUCACAAAAAAUUAAUUUAUUAAGCAAUUACUACCUUUCAAAAAAAAAUUAUUAAGUAAUUACUCAAUGGAAACCUGAAAGUUGUUAAUUAAUAAAACAAAUUAUAAAAAUACUACUUUGGUACAAAAAUCGUAAUUAAUUAGUAGAGUACUGGAGGAAGUCCAAUUUAGAUGAAACAAUGCAACAAUAAUUGCAGAAAACCGCAAAAAGCAAACAUUCAACAGUGGUUGAUGUAAGACAAGUGAAACAAUUAAAUUACCUUUACUGAGAGCCACUCUUUGGCCUUGACGGGAUCAUUUACUGGUUCAAAAGCUGUCCUGAAGUAAGCCUCGGGCGACCUUGGUUCUACUUUGAACUUCUUGCAAAAGGGCAGCCAUUGCUUUGAGAAAGUUGCAGCCUCUAACAUGGCAUAGAACGUUAGGUCUGACCCGCCAUCGUCUGAUAGAUAGAUGCUUAACUUCUCUGGCGGAUAAUCAUAAGCCAUCACUGAUAACACUGUGUUGAUCACCAGGCU